rnacentral:rRNA from 1 species
CCUACGGGGGGCUGCAGUGGGGAAUAUUGGACAAUGGGCGCAAGCCUGAUCCAGCCAUGCCGCGUGUGUGAAGAAGGCCUUCGGGUUGUAAAGCACUUUUGUUGGGGAAGAAAAGCCGCGGGUUAAUACCCUGUGGUUCUGACGGUACCCAAAGAAUAAGCACCGGCUAACUUCGUGCCAGCAGCCGCGGUAAUACGAAGGGUGCAAGCGUUACUCGGAAUUACUGGGCGUAAAGCGUGCGUAGGUGGUUCGUUAAGUCUGCCGUGAAAGCCCCG